UAGAUUAAGCCAUGCAUGUCUAAGUAUAAAUAGUAUACAGUGAAACUGCGAAUGGCUCAUUAAAACAGUUAUAGUUUAUUUGAUAAUUGAAAAUUACAUGGAUAACCGUGGUAAUUCUAGAGCUAAUACAUGCUGUCAAGCCCGACUUUUUGAAGGGUUGUAUUUAUUAGACUUAAGCCAAUAUUCCUCACGGUCUAUUGCGGUGAUUCAUAAUAACUGAUCGAAUCUCAUAUGUGAGAUAAAUCAUUCAAGUUUCUGCCCUAUCAGCUUUCGAUGGUAGUGUAUUGGACUACCAUGGCAGUAACGGGUAACGAAGAAUUAGGGUUCGAUUUCGGAGAGGGAGCAUGAGAAACGGCUACCACAUCUAAGGAAGGCAGCAGGCGCGUAAAUUACCCAAUCCUGACUCAGGGAGGUAGUGACAAGAAAUAGCAAACCGGGAGCCUCACGGUUUCACGGUAUUGCAAUGAGAACAAUUUAAAACUCUUAGCGAGGAACAAGUGGAGGACAAGUCUGGUGCCAGCACCCGCGGUAAUUCCAGCUCCACUAGCGUAUAUUAAAGUUGUUGCAGUUAAAAAGCUCGUAGUUGAACUUCUGUAUGGGGCUAGUUCUGACUUCUGUCUGGCUAGUCCCAUGCAUCCGCUUGUAAGACCUGGAGGGCAUUUAUUUGUCGCCAGGAGGAACAGGCUUUUUACUUUGAAAAAAUUAGAGUGUUUAAGGCAGGCUAUCGCCCGCAUAUAUUAGCAUGGAAUAAUAGAAUAGGACACUUUUCCAUUUCGUUGGUUAUUGGAAUCGUGUAAUGAUUAAUAGGGACAGUUGUGGGCAUUUGUAUUUAAUUGUCAGAGGUGAAAUUCUUGGAUUUAUUAAAGACAAACUAACGCGAAAGCAUUUGCCAAGGAUGUUUUCAUUAAUCAAGAACGAAAGUUAGGGGAUCAAAGACGAUCAGAUACCGUCCUAGUCUUAACUAUAAACUAUUCCGACUCAAUGUUUGGCUGGCUUCUUUAACCAGCUGAGCGUUGUAUGAGAAAUCAAAGUCUUUAGGUUCUGGGGGGAGUAUGGUUGCAAAGCUGAAACUUAAAGGAAUUGACGGAAGAGCACAACCAGGAGUGGAUUCUGCGGCUUAAUUUGACUCAACACGGGGAAACUUACCAGGUUAAAACAAUAGUGGGAUUGACAGCUUGAGAGCGCUUUCUUGAUUGGUUGGGUGGUGGUGCAUGGCCGUUCUUAGUUGGUGGAGUGAUUUGUCUGCUUAAUUGCGUUAACGAACGAGACCUUAACCUGCUUACUAGACUGGCGAUGAACAAUCGUCAGCUCUUCUUAGAGGGACUUUGGUUGUUUUAACUCCAAGGAAGUUUGAGGCAAUAACAGGUCUGUGAUGCCCUUAGAUAUCCUGGGCCGCACGCGUCAUACAAUGACUAGUUCAGAAAGUUUCAUCCUGACCCGGAAGGGGCUGGGUAAUCUUGUCAGUACUAGUCGUAUUAGGGAUAGAUCUUUGCAAUUAUAGAUCUUGAACGAGGAAUUCCUAGUAAGUGCGGUUCAUCAGACCGUACUGAUUACGUCCCUGCUCUUUGUACACACCGCCCGUCGCUUCUACCGAGUGAGUGGUCCGGUGAGAUACUUGGAUCAACGGGGCAACCCGAUUUGAGAAGAUUAUCAAACCUAUCCACUUCGAGGAAGAAGAAGUCGUAACAAGGUUUCCGUAGGUGAACCUGCGGAAGGAUCAUUGACACAACAAUCAAUACACCUAAACCUUUGUUCUGUAUGGCUGUCAGAUUUAUCUGGCAGUCAUAUUUUUACAAACCUUCUUAACAGAAGAAAAAACCAUAAACAAGUUAAAAACAAAAAAACCAAAAAUACUCAACAAUGGAUAUCUUGGUUCCCAUAUCGAUGAAGAACGCAGCGAAAUGCGAUAUGUAAUGCGAAUUGCAAAAUCCACGAGUCAUCAAAUCUUUGAACGCAACUGGCGUUGGCUACCUGCCAACAUAUUUGUAUCAGUGUGUAAGGAAAUCACAAAUCUGAAUGUGGUUGAGCGUAACAGCUCUCCCAUUAAACACGAGGGGUGGAGGACAACUCUGCCAAACGAAGUAGUCGCUAGCUAUCUAGUGAUCUCGUUUGAGCGCUAGUAGUCUUCAGAAACACCUUUAGAACAAGCUCUCUCCAUCCAUACCUGAUAUAAGUAAGACCACCCGCUGAACUUAAGCAUAUCAGUAAGCGGAG
rnacentral:rRNA from 1 species